UACGAAGGGGGCUAGCGUUGCUCGGAAUUACUGGGCGUAAAGGGCGCGUAGGCGGCUCAUACAGUCAGGCGUGAAAUUCCUGGGCUCAACCUGGGGACUGCGCUUGAGACGUGUGGGCUUGAGUGGGGAAGAGGGUCGUGGAAUUCCCAGUGUAGAGGUGAAAUUCGUAGAUAUUGGGAAGAACACCGGUGGCGAAGGCGGCGACCUGGUCCUUGACUGACGCUGAGGCGCGAAAGCGUGGGGAGCAAACAGG
rnacentral:rRNA from 1 species